UAGCGUAUAUUAAAGUUGUUGCAGUUAAAAAGCUCGUAGUCGGAUUUCGGGGCGGGCCGAGCGGUCUGCCGAUGGGUAUGCACUGUUCGGCGCGUCCUUCUUUCCGGAGACUAGUUCUACUCUUAACUGAGCGGGACUGGGAGACGGAUCGUUUACUUUGAAAAAAUCAGAGUGUUUCAAGCAGGCAGCUCGCUCUUGCAUGGAUUAGCAUGGGAUAAUGAAAUAGGACUCUGGUGCUAUUUUGUUGGUUUCGAACACCGGAGUAAUGAUUAACAGGGACAGUCAGGGGCACUCGUAUUCCGUCGAGAGAGGUGAAAUUCUCAGACCAAUGGAAGACGAACCACUGCGAAAGCAUUUG
rnacentral:rRNA from 1 species